rnacentral:rRNA from 1 species
UACGUAGGGUGCGAGCGUUGCCCGGAUUUAUUGGGCGUAAAGGGCGCGUAGGCGGCUCGACACGUUCGUUGUGAAAUCGCCCGGCUCAACUGGGCGGGGUCAGCGAAUACGGUCGAGCUUGAGCAAGCUAGGGGGCAAUGGAAUUCCCGGUGUAGUGGUGGAAUGCGUAGAUAUCGGGAGGAACACCAGUGGCGAAGGCGGUUGCCUGGGGCUUUGCUGACGCUGAUGCGCGAAAGCGUGGGGAGCAAACAGG